rnacentral:misc_RNA from 1 species
AAGUCGUAACAAGGUUUCCGUAGGUGAACCUGCGGAAGGAUCAUUACAUUCAGUAGCUUGCUACUGUUAGGGGGGUCCAUUAGUCUGUAUAGUAUCACUACUGAUGAGCAGCACGACUCCCUGUCUAUACCCUUGUCUUUUGCGCACUCAUGUUUCCUCGGCGGCUUGACACCCGCCGGCUGGAUCAAUCUAUAACCUUUUUAAUUUUCAAUCAGCGUCUGAAAAACCUAACAAUUACAACUUUCAACAACGGAUCUCUUGGUUCUG